rnacentral:ribozyme from 1 species
AAAAAAAAAGAAGAAGAAAAGAAGGAAACUCGAGAAUACAAAAGCGUAAUAAUAUUCCUUCUCCUUCUUGUUCUUGUUUCCAAAUCCCUUCUCCUA